UGCACUUGGAAAAGUUAAUGUUAUGAAGAAAAUGGACCUCUGAUGUGCUUGGGGAACAUGCCAUUCUGAUGAAAGAUAUCCUGCUAAGUUACAAGGGGCCCAGUUGAUUCAUUUUCCAAAGCCUAAAGCCCAGUUGAGGAAGUGUCUAGCAUGGAUUGAGGCCCGUGGAAAAGCACGCGUACAUCUAAGUGUGGACAAUAUCAACAAACAAGGCUGUAUUUUCGAAGAAACCGUUACGGCAAGAAGUGUGCUUUGAUCGACAAUAUCGAAACAAAUGGAGCACACAACUGUGGGCGUCGGUACAGACAUCCUCCACUAUCUCCUCUUCCCGACAAGCGCUUAUACAGUGGAGCAACUAAAGAAUUACAAAGGUCUGGAGGCCGACAACCAAUUCAUCAAUGGCUGGGUUCGUCAUGCGGCGUUAUCCAUUGGAAGCACACUGCUAAGAUGGCGAACACCGAGCAGCCACAGGGAGUCCAGACCAUUGACUUCACUUCAGACAUCAAACAAGGCUUCAAAAUAAAAUGCCACAGCAAAAGAAGGAGGAUGCAGUGCACAUGUAAAGUCAAAUAUUUAUUGCAAGCAUUGGUAUUGCAGACGGUAAGUGCCUGAACUACAUCACUACAAAUAACCGGCAGAGGAUAUUUGUAUCCAACAGAACCAGACGGAGAGGCAGACCACAGUAGAGACAACGGUCCCACUUUUCCCACCUCCCAUCUGUCAGCUGAAUUCUCUCUUACAUGUACUCCACCUGCUUCCUGAAAACAGCCCCCACCCUCAAAAACACCCUCAUCCCGUCCCUUCACUUACCACUACAGACGUGGAUGUGAGAUGUGGUCUCUCGCGCUCAGCCAAAGAAACUGAUACUGUAUAUAACUUCCCUGAGUGUAUUUUUGGCUUCUCUUUUACCCUCCCUCCUCUCAUAAUGUCACACAUAAAAGGACAUCAUCUGUAUGAAAUGCUCUCAAGUAUAACCUGCCCUGAAUAAAUCCUGAAUACUGAUAAUCGGGCCAAAUUUGAGUGUUAUUUUUUUUCUCUCUUCCGAUCAGUCAGAAAGGUCCGAUAAUCAAAUGUCUGCGCAAUAUCGUCCUCCUGAAUGAUUAUCCUGGUGUAUGUGUUGUGUUAAGAAUGA